rnacentral:rRNA from 1 species
GGCCUACCAUGGUGGUAACGGGUAACGGGGUGUUAGGGCACGACACCGGAGAGGGAGCCUGAGAAACGGCUACCACAUCCAAGGAAGGCAGCAGGCGCGCAAAUUACCCAAUCCCGACACGGGGAGGUAGUGACAAUAAAUAACAAUACAGGGUUCUUUAGGAUCUUGUAAUUGGAAUGAGUACAAUUUAAAUCUCUUAACGAGGAACAAUUGGAGGGCAAGUCUGGUGCCAGCAGCCGCGGUAAUUCCAGCUCCAAUAGCGUAUAUUAAAGUUGUUGCAGUUAAAAAGCUCGUAGUUGAAUUUCGGGAUUGACGUGACGGUCGUGCCUUAAGGGGUAUGAACUGUUGCAGUCAAUUUCUCACCUUCUGGAGAAAUAUGAUGUCCUUAAUUGGGUGUCAUAUGGAACCAGGACCUUUACCUUGAAAAAAUUAGAGUGUUUAAAGCAGGCUUAUUGCUCGAAUACAUUAGCAUGGAAUAAUGAAAUAGGACAUCCGAUUCUAUUUUGUUGGUUUCUAGGAUCGAUGUAAUGAUUAAUAGGGAUAGUUGGGGGCAUUAGUAUUCAAUUGUCAGAGGUGAAAUUCUUGGAUUUAUUGAAGACUAACUACUGCGAAAGCAUUUGCCAAGGAUGUUUUCAUUAAUCAAGAACGAAAGUUAGGGGAUCGAAGACGAUCAGAUACCGUCGUAGUCUUAACCAUAAACUAUGCCGACUAGGAAUCAGACGAUGUUAAUUUUUUAAUGACUCGUUUGGCACCUUACG